AAGAUUAGAUCUCUCUGAUGAAAAUCAGUAAGGAACGUUUUAGUAUAAGAAGUUGAUAGGCUGUGUGUGUAAGUACAGCAAUGUUUGAAGCUUACCAGUACUAAUGAUCCGAGAGACUUAAGUCU
rnacentral:rRNA from 1 species